rnacentral:rRNA from 1 species
UGGGGAAUCUUGCACAAUGGGGGCAACCCUGAUGCAGCGACGCCGCGUGAGCGAUGAAGCCCUUCGGGGCGUAAAGCUCUUUCGACCGGAACGAUAAUGACGGUACCGGGAGGAGAAGCUGCGGCUAACUACGUGCCAGCAGCCGCGGUAAUACGUAGGCAGCAAGCGUUGUUCGGAGUUACUGGGCGUAAAGAGUGCGUAGGCGGUUUUCUAAGUUCGGUGUGAAAUCUCCCGGCUUAACUGGGAGGGUGCGCCGAAGACUGGGAAGCUGGAGUGUGGGAAAGGCAGGCGGAAUUCCUGGUGUAGCGGUGAAAUGCGUAGAUAUCAGGAGGAACACCGGCGGUGUAGACGGCUUGCUAGACCAUAACUGACGCUGAGGCGCGAAAGCGUGGGUAGCAAACA